UACAGAGGUCUCAAGCGUUGUUCGGAUUCAUUGGGCGUAAAGGGUGUGUAGGUGGCGCCGUAAGUCGGGUGUGAAAUUUCGGAGCUUAACUCCGAAACUGCAUUCGAUACUGCGGUGCUUGAGGACUGGAGAGGAGACUGGAAUUUACGGUGUAGCGGUGAAAUGCGUAGAUAUCGUAAGGAAGACCAGUGGCGAAGGCGGGUCUC
rnacentral:rRNA from 1 species